UCCUAGGCUGCUGAUCCUGCUGAAUGUGUCAGGCGAGAGCCAGGUGCGAAUUCCGUGACCGAGGCGCAAAGGAAGUUGAACUUGCUUCCCCAACUGUUUAAUGGAAACCUGACUUGAUGCUCCAGGAAGCCCAGAAGGCUUCAGAGAAUCCGGUCUUGGAGAGCCGUAACGGAUGAUGGUAUUUCCACGGUAGAAUUCCCCAGCACAGCACCUGACCCGUGCGUGCUCAGUGAAAGGUGAGGAAACUGAGGCUUGAAGACAUUAGGUCCAAGUUCACAAUGCCCUUAAUGUGAAGAGUGCAGAGUGGUACAAGAAUGUUCGUGGAACUUUAUUCCUCAUGGCCCCAAACUGAGUAGAGCCCAGCUGUCUGUAGCACCAGGAGAAUGGUUUAAGUGAAUUGUGGGCUAUUCAUGCAAUAGAAUGCUCCGGGGAAGGGGAUUUAGCUCAGUGGCACUGCACCUGCUUGUAAGUGCCAAGUUCCUGAGUUUGAUCCCCGGUACCACCAAAAAAAAACCAAAACAGUGCUCCAGACCAACAAAAAACACAGUCACUGCAACAAACAGCAGUGUGGACAACAGACAUGAUGGUGACUGAAAGAAGCCAUCCAUCAAACACUGCCCGACUGUGUGAAGUUUGCUCACGAGUAAAACCCACUGUGAUGGUCGCAGUCCGAAUAAGAGUUCCUACACAGGCCAGGUGGGGUGGGCCACCGGACUGGGAUCGUGUUGUGAAGGGGCUGCUGGGGGUGCCGGAAGUGUGUCCUACUUUGAUCUAAGUGGCUAGUGGUCACAGGGUGUGUGUGUACAUGUACGUGUGUAAAAACUCAUCCUCUGCACCCGUAGCUUUUUCCCAAUAAGGAAGUAAGUCAACAUAAUAUAUAUGUAUGGAUAUAUAAUCUAUGUAUGCAUCAACUUGGAAGACUUAGGGCCAAAUCAACUCUGGCUUUGUAUCCUGGCAGGAAGUGGGGACGGCAGGCAGACCCCGCCCACCCCCCUUUCUUUGGAGGGAGAAGCCCUGAGUCUGCACAAUGUGCGGAUUGCACUUUUAAUUGCUACCCCCGCUUGAUCUGCAUCCUGUCUUCCCCAGCUCUAACCCUGGGGAAGGUGCUGACCAAGCCUGUGCCCCCUCUGCCCCAGGCAGGGAGGGGAGUGGGAGCCAGGAAGUGAAGGAAGGGGAGAAGGAAGAGGGAGGAGAAAAGAGAGGCUGGCAAGGGGUGAGUAGGGUACAUUUCCAGGAAGCCUCCAGGGGUGCCGAUUUGGGUGAGGUCAGUUUAAUGAGAACUUUUAGGCCCCCAGGGAGGAGGCCCAGGGCUGGCAGGCUCCUGGGAGCCUGAGGGAGCAGAGUCCUUUCUGUGCAUUUUGAUGCAUCAUGAAGCACAUUCGCCCUGAGCGCUCAAUGAUAUGCCAGCACAUGUCCCACAGGGCAGGGCUGGAGCCGGCUUACGGGCAGAGCUCCCGCACUCGGACUCCUGCUGGCUGGCGUGUCCGGACCCAGCUGCCCCCACAGAUUCGGGGGGGCAGAGCCAGUGCCCCGCCCCAGGCUCAGGCCUGGUGCAGGUGCCUUCAAGCCCGGAGCUCACCCCGGCCUCCCCUCCCUCCUGCUCUGCUCUACCCAUCCAUCCACCCACCAUCUUUUCUUCAUCUCUGUAUUUCUGACCUCCUCCCUCUCUCUCUGCUCCACCCUGGGCUCUGUUUUCUCCACAGUCUGUGCCUGUCUCUCCACCUCCAUCCCCCCUUCCCCUGCUGCCCCUCUUUCCCUCCCCACCCUAUUCCUGGGCUUGUGCUUCCUCUCCAGCCCAAUAUAAAUAAUAGAAAUUAAUUUGUCAGCCAGGACACGCGGCCCAGCCGGCGCAGCAGUGAG